rnacentral:lncRNA from 1 species
CUCUGGAACCAGUUCUCAUUACUAAUUCAUUAUGAUGUUUCUGUACAAUCUCCUAGAGACAGCCAAUAGUGCCUUCUACAACAGACAAAGUUAUCGUAUGCCUCAACACUUCAUAUUUACAAUAUUCCUAAUAUAUUACAAACAGUGUAAUCUUUGGCAAGAUCAUAUAUGUUCAUGUGUGUUUCUUGUGGGCUUGUGUAGACACGAGCAAUAUGUGUGGUUGCUCAUGAAUAUGUGCCAUAUGUUAAUCUAUUUGUAUAAAUUCACUAGUUUUAUAUAUGUCGUGUAUGAUCCACUUAUAACUUGUCAUUUUGGCAAAAUAAAGAAUUGCAUUGGAGCUCCCCUUUGAUUUUACGAAAAGAAUAAAAUUUUUGAAUCCCUUCCUCUCCCUCUAUCUCUCUCGUGGAGAGGGGAGCAUACUCCUUUAUUUUCUUUUCAACUCUUCAAUUGAAAUAGGGCAAGUAGGGUAAAUAUUUAUUUCCUCCAAGUUGUCAAUUUUACCCUCCACUGCCAAAAUGUUUCACAUGCGACACCAAAAGUGGAAGGGCUUAAUGGACAUUUUAAAAAAAUGCCACCACUGUUGACUUCAAUAUUAGUUUGUCACUUGUCCGAAUGGCCAUUGUUUUUAACUUGCAUUUAAAAAAAAAAAAGAAAAAAAGCAAAAAAAAGGAACAGGACCCACUUGGCAGUUGCAAAUAAUUGAUUUUCCAAGAUAUAGCAUGGCUACGACAGAGGCUAAAUUAUGAUUAGCAUUUUCCAAGUUCGUUGUAGGGACCACCAUACCAAAGUCGCAGCUAGAUUGGCUGAAUUUGAUAUCCUUAGGAGUAAUUAGUAUUGUGUAGGUAAUUAGGGUUUAUUGUCGACAUAGGUGGA